rnacentral:rRNA from 1 species
AGUGGCGGACGGGUGAUUAACGCGUGAGAAUCUGCCUUGGGGUCGGGGACAACCACUGGAAACGGUGGCUAAUACCGGAUAAGCCGAUUGGUGAAAGAUUUAUUGCCCGAAGAGGAGCUCGCGUCUGAUUAGCUAGUUGGUGAGGUAAGAGCUCACCAAGGCAGCGAUCAGUACUGGUCUGAGAGGACGAUCAGCCACACUGGGACUGAGACACGGCCCAGACUCCUACGGGAGGCAGCAGUGGGGAAUUUUCCGCAAUGGGCGAAAGCCUGACGGAGCAAGACCGCGUGAGGGAGGAAGGCUCUUGGGUUGUAAACCUCUUUUCUCAGGGAAGAAGCUCUGACGGUACCUGAGGAAUCAGCCUCGGCUAACUCCGUGCCAGCAGCCGCGGUAAUACGGAGGAGGCAAGCGUUAUCCGGAAUUAUUGGGCGUAAAGCGUCCGCAGGUGGCAAUUCAAGUCUGCUGUCAAAGCACGGGGCUUAACUCCGUUAAGGCAGUGGAAACUGAAUAGCUAGAGUGCCGUAGGGGUAGAGGGAAUUCCCGGUGUAGCGGUGAAAUGCGUAGAGAUCGGGAAGAACAUCGGUGGCGAAAGCGCUCUACUGGACGGCAACUGACACUCAGGGACGAAAGCUAGGGGAGCGAAUGGGAUUAGAUACCCC